rnacentral:tRNA from 1 species
GGGGUAGUACUCAAGAGGCUGAAGAGGUGGUCCUGCUAAGACUAUAGGCGAGGCAACUCGCGCAGCGGUUCGAAUCCGCUCUAUCCCGCCA